AUUUAUGAGGUAAGUAGAUUUCUAUAAUUUAUUGCAUUACAGUUUUUUUAUAUAUAUAUAUAUUAACAAAAAUUUGUUGUCUGUUUUAUUUAUUUGUUCAUUCAUUUAUUUAUUUUAUAAGACAGAUCGGGGCUAGUUGACACUUUUACUUCAGUGAAUAUUUCUCAAAAAAACCUACUGAGCAUUUCCACCGUUACUGCUCUAGAAAAAAAUGGGAUGACUGACACUUGGGCCGAAGCCAGCGAGAAUAGCCUUGAGGAUGCUCAGAUGAUCUCCAUGUCCACUCUGGUUAAAACAUGGACGUUCUGAAAGGAUUUUCGGAUGAAGGAUCGGCCGAUUGGGAAGAAUGAACAUCUUCUGUCCUGUAAUUCAUAGUGAAAGGAUAAGAGAGACAUUGACAUGUGCCCAACUUUGAAGCCUGUUUCCCCCUGGCCUGACCCGCUCCAUCAACACGGCUGCUUCAGAUAGACUCCAUAUGGCCCAGCGGCACAGCACAGCCUCUCCGGUCCGAAAUCUCGUGACUUACAGCAAGUAGCUGAGGAUCAACAGAUGCCUUGUUCCUCACUCUGUGGAUGUGGUGUGAAGAUGGCAUGCCUUGGUGAACCAACAGUGCAAACGUGUUCUUACAAACAUUGAUGUUUGCAUGGAUAAUCUAAUGUUUGCGUAUGCAAAGUCAUGAACUUCGUGCAGGACCGGUGCUGCGCUGGUGUUACGUGGUCUUGGUCCGGGGUGUCUGGUGCCCGAGAGCACUUUCAACCGAAGGAAAGCAAACGGAGUAAAGCACGUCCAUUAUAUGCAAUGGCCUGGACCCUGACAAGCAAGUGC